rnacentral:rRNA from 1 species
GAUGAACGCUGGCGGCGUGCCUAAUACAUGCAAGUCGAGCGAACGGACGAGAAGCUUGCUUCUCUGAUGUUAGCGGCGGACGGGUGAGUAACACGUGGAUAACCUACCUAUAAGACUGGGAUAACUUCGGGAAACCGUAGCUAAUACCGGAUAAUAUUUUGAACCGCAUGGUUCAAAAGUGAAAGACGGUCUUGCUGUCACUUAUAGAUGGAUCCGCGCUGCAUUAGCUAGUUGGUAAGGUAACGGCUUACCAAGGCGACGAUGCAUAGCCGACCUGAGAGGGUGAUCGGCCACACUGGAACUGAGACACGGUCAAGACUCCUACGGGAGGCAGCAGUAGGGAAUCUGCCGCAAUGGGCGAAAGCCUGACGGAGCAACGCCGCGUGAGUGAUGAAGGUCUUCGGAUCGUAAAACUCUGUUAUUAGGGAAGAACAUAUGUGUAAGUAACUGUGCACAUCUUGACGGUACCUAAUCAGAAAGCCACGGCUAACUACGUG